AAGUCGUAACAAGGUUUCCGUAGGUGAACCUGCGGAAGGAUCAUUAUCGAGUUUUGAAGUGGGGUUGUCGCUGGCCAAAAAAAUAAAGGCAUGUGCACACCUUAGCUUUCAUCCACUCUCAAACCCCUGUGCACUUAUUGUAGGCUUGGUGGGAUGAGCUGACCUUUCACGGUCGGCUUUGAAAGCCUCGCCUAUGUCUUAUUACAAACGCUUCAGUUCAGAAUGUAAUCAAGUUGCUUUAAUGCAAAUUAAAUACAACUUUCAGCAACGGAUCUCUUGGCUCUC
rnacentral:misc_RNA from 1 species